rnacentral:rRNA from 1 species
AACGAACGCUGGCGGCGUGGAUAAGACAUGCAAGUCGAACGGGACUAAAUCUGUAGCAAUACAGGUUUAGUUUAGUGGCGAACGGGUGCGUAACACGUGGGCAAUCUGCCGAGAAGUGGGGGAUAGCUCGCCGAAAGGCGAAUUAAUACCGCAUAUGAUCAGGGACGACAUCUUCCCAACAUCAAAGCCGGGGCAACCUGGCGCUUCUUGAUGAGCCCGCGGCCCANCAGCUAGUUGGUGAGGUAACGGCCCACCAAGGCUAUGACGGGUAGCUGGUCUGAGAGGACGACCAGUCACACUGGAACUGAGACACGGUCCAGACAUCUACGGGUGGCAGCAGUCGAGUAAUUUUUCUCAAGUGGGGCAACCCUGAAGGAGCGACGCCGCGUGGAGGAUGAAGG